AUUGAACGCUGGCGGCAGGCCUAACACAUGCAAGUCGAACGAGUGGCGGACGGGUGAGUAAUGUCUGGGAAACUGCCCGAUGGAGGGGGAUAACUACUGGAAACGGUAGCUAAUACCGCAUACCAUCGGAUGUGCCCAGAUGGGAUUAGCUAGUAGGUGGGGUAACGGCUCACCUAGGCGACGAUCCCUAGCGGGUCUGAGAGGAUGACCACCCACACUGGAACUGCGACACGGUCGAGACUCAUACGGGAGGCAGCAGGGGGGAAUAUUGCACAAUGGGCGAAAGCAUGAUGCAGCCAUGCCGCGGGGAGGAAGAAGGCCUGCGGGUUGUAAAGUACUUUCAGCGAGGAGGCGUUACUCGCAGAAGAAGCACCGGCUAACUCCGUGCCAGCAGCCGCGGUAAUAC
rnacentral:rRNA from 1 species